AUUUGGCCAAUUAUCGUGAAUCGGUUAAUCGAUUUGUGGAAGAGGGGACCACAACAUAACAAACAAUUUUGUGUGUUGGUUUUUUUAAAACACGCAUUCUUCAGUGAAAUGUGUACUGUAAACCUUCGAGGAUGCGUCUGCAUGAUGGCGGAGUAUGUGGAUUGCAUUACGCAACAAUGCGCACUCCAAUCAGGUGGUGCAAGCCGAUGUCCGACUUAUCGAGCGUCUGCGUCACGAUGAGACCGCUGGCGGGUCUGCUACUUGGUUGAGUUAAAUGGCACGCAAAUGAGGGGCCACGCAGAACGACAGAAGCGUCAAAUGAACUGUUUGGCAGCGUGUUGAGGUCGCUAACAGAUGAACGAUUCGCUUCAAGGAUCCACAUGGGCAAGAGAUCCCAGAUUUUGGAAUCUAUGCCAUGAUCGAAUAGACAGCCAAAACAAUGUCGAGUAGUACUGCUUCAAUGUGCUUUUUGAAGUUUUCGAGAAGGAGAGCGGCAUUUAUUACAGGGAAUACUGCCAGCAAUGUGAAGAAAGAUCGCAACCUGCAUCCCCUUGACACCAAUGUCUAAGGCACCAGAUUUUUCUGAACAAGUUACACGAGGAUGCGCAAAGCAAGUCGCCGUAUGGGCUCGAGAUCCUACGCUGGGCCACGAUUGGGCUGACUUCAACUUUGCCUGCUCCCAAAUUAAAGCAGAUAUUGAGCCGGGCCCUUGUGUGAAUAUGUGAGCUCUAAUGGAUGGCUUGCUUGUAUUCGUACCGGUGCGCUCAUCUAGCGAUGCUCUUAAAAGAUAAUCGAAACCUUUUCGACAUUAUGGAGCUGAUGUACGCGUCUGCUACAGCACAGUUCCACAAUCGGAAUCAUAUCACAAAAAUGAGCUAACCAUGUGGUAGUCCAGCUGGAGCUCGAAGACCGAGGAUGGCUGACGGGUCGUUCUUCCGGGAAAACAUGGCAUUACCUUGUACUACCUGAGCGAUUCCUUGAAUAGGAUUACAUCUUAUCCAUCGAAAUAACCGACAUCCAAUCUCAAAUUGAGGCCGAGUCGGAUUGAAACGUAGGAAGAUUAGUGUUCCAGCGUUGUAUACCAAUAAAAUUGCAGCAUGCUUUUGCUGCUUUUAAAUAUA